UUGCUUGCAAUUUGAUGACGAGUGGCGAACGGGUGCGUAACGCGUAUGCAACCUACCUUUAACUGGGAGAUAGCCAGAAGAAAUUCUGAUUAAUACCCCAUAAUAUGUAUCUCUCGCAUGUUAGAUAUAUUAAAGCUUUGGCGGUUAAAGAUGGGCAUGCGUGACAUUAGUUUGUUGGUGAGGUAAUGGCUCACCAAGACUACGAUGUCUAGGGGGUCUGAGAGGAUUAUCCCCCACACUGGUACUGAGACACGGACCAGACUCCUACGGGAGGCAGCAGUGAGGAAUAUUGGACAAUGGGCGAAAGCCUGAUCCAGCCAUGCCGCGUGCAGGAAGACGGCCCUACGGGUUGUAAACUGCUUUUAUAUAGGAAUAAACCCCUCUACGUGUAGAGGGCUGAAGGUACUAUACGAAUAAGGAUCGGCUAACUCCGUGCCAGCAGCCGCGGUAAUACGGAGGAUCCAAGCGUUAUCCGGAUUUAUUGGGUUUAAAGGGUGCGUAGGCGGGACAAUAAGUCAGUGGUGAAAUCUUCCAGCUUAACUGGGAAACUGCCAUUGAUACUGUUGUUCUUGA
rnacentral:rRNA from 1 species